rnacentral:rRNA from 1 species
ACGGGAGGCAGCAGUGGGGAAUAUUGGGCAAUGGGCGGAAGCCUGACCCAGCAACGCCGCGUGAAGGAAGAAGGUCUUCGGAUUGUAAACUUCUUUUAUCAGGGACGAAGGAAGUGACGGUACCUGAUGAAUAAGCCACGGCUAACUACGUGCCAGCAGCCGCGGUAAUACGUAGGUGGCAAGCGUUAUCCGGAUUUACUGGGUGUAAAGGGCGCGUAGGCGGGGAUGCAAGUCAGAUGUGAAAUCCAUGGGCUUAACUCAUGAACUGCAUUUGAAACUGCAUCUCUUGAGUGUCGGAGAGUUAGAUUGAAUUCCUAGUGUGGCGGUGAAAUGCGUAGAUAUUAGGAGGAACACCAGUGGCGAAGGCGAUCUACUGGACGAUAACUGACGCUGAGGCGCGAAAGCGUGGGGAGCAAACAGGCUUAGAUACCCUGGUA